GACAGAGGUGCCAAGCGUUAGGCGGAAUCACUGGGCUUAAAGCGUGUGUAGGCGGAUCGUUAAGUACCUUGUGAAAUCCCACGGCUCAACCGUGGAACUGCUGGGUAUACUGGCGAUCUUGAGCCACCUAGGGGCGAGCGGAACAAACGGUGGAGCGGUGAAAUGCGUAGAUAUCGUUUGGAACGCCAAAGGUGAAAACAGACAGCUGGGAGUGUGCUGACGCUAAGACACGAAAGCCAGGGGAGCGAACGGG
rnacentral:rRNA from 1 species